ACUGGAACGGCGGCCCCGAACCCGGUCGACCCAGAGGCUCAUAUGGCCGGAACUUCCAUCGUGGACAUGGAAGCGGAAGGCAGGACUAUGGUCCUCCCAACAACCAGUGGAAAAAG